UACGAGGGGGGCGAGCGUUGUUCGGAAUUAUUGGGCGUAAAGGGUGCGUAGGCGGUUUGGUAAGUCUUAUGUGAAAUCUAUGGGCUCAACUCAUAGUCUGCAUGAGAAACUGCCGGGCUUGAGUAUGGGAGAGGUGAGUGGAAUUCCUGGUGUAGCGGUGAAAUGCGUAGGUAUCAGGAGGAACACCUGUGGCGAAAGCGGCUCACUGGACCAUAACUGACGCUGAUGCACGAAAGCUAGGGGAGCAAACAGG
rnacentral:rRNA from 1 species